GACGAACGCUGGCGGCGUGCUUAACACAUGCAAGUCGAACGAAAAGAGGGAAAGAGCUUGCUCUUUCCGGAAUUGAGUGGCAAACGGGUGAGUAACACGUAAACAACCUGCCUUCAGGAUGGGGACAACAGACGGAAACGACUGCUAAUACCGAAUAAGUUCCAAGGGCCGCAUGGCCCAUGGAAGAAAAGGUGGCCUCUACCUGUAAGCUAUCGCCUGAAGAGGGGUUUGCGGCUGAUUAGCGGGUUGGCGGGGGAACGGCCCACCAAGGCGACGAUCAGUAGCCGGUCUGGGAGGAUGAACGGCCACACUGGGACUGGGACACGGUCCAGACUCCUACGGGAGGCAGCAGUGGGGAAUCUUCCGCAAUGGGCGAAAGCCUGACGGAGCAACGCCGCGUGAGUGAUGAAGGCCUUCGGGUUGUAAAACUCUGUGAUCCGGGACGAAAAGGCAGAGUGCGAAGAACAAACUGCAUUGACGGUACCGGAAAAGCAAGCCACGGCUAACUACGUG
rnacentral:rRNA from 1 species